GACGAACGCUGGCGGCGUGCUUAACACAUGCAAGUCGAACGGAAAGGCCUUUUCGGAGGUACUCGAGUGGCGAACGGGUGAGUAACACGUGGGUGAUCUGCCCUGCACUCUGGGAUAAGCCUGGGAAACUGGGUCUAAUACCGGAUAGGACCGCACUUUAGUGUGUGUGGUGGAAAGUUUUUUCGGUGUAGGAUGAGCCCGCGGCCUAUCAGCUUGUUGGUGGGGUAAUGGCCUACCAAGGCGGCGACGGGUAGCCGGACUGAGAGGUUGGUCGGCCACAGUGGGACUGAGAUACGGCCCAGAAUCCGACGGGAGGCAGCAGUGGGGAAUAUUGCACAAUGGGCGCAAGCCUGAUGCAGCGACGCCGCGUGGGGGAUGACGGCCUUCGGGUUGUAAACUCCUUUCGCCAGGGACGAAGCGUUUUGUGACGGUACCUGGAGAAGAAGCACCGGCUAACUACGUG
rnacentral:rRNA from 1 species